rnacentral:rRNA from 1 species
UUGAAGGGAACGAUUGAAGUCAGUCGUACCCGCGAGAAAUCAACCUUUCGAGGGCAAUCCCGUGGAUGUUUGGGAGCCUUAACGGUCCCUACGUUUUCGGGUUUGUUCUCUUUUGGCGUACUUUCUUGCGCGGUAGGUUAACAUCAAUUUCGGACGUCAUAAAAUGAUCGGAGGAAUGUGGCUUCGAUUUUUCGAAGUGUUUAUAGCCUUCGGUAGAUACGACGAACGGGAUUGAGGAUUGCAACGAAUACCUUUUAGGCUAUUCGUCUGAUCUCUAAUCGUUGCCUUGGUACCGAAAGCGUGCUUAUGGUCAUUGAGGUUGAUGGUUAAAAGGUUAGAACGAAUUACAUUCGUUAAGGAUGUUGACGUA